rnacentral:rRNA from 1 species
GGUGCAUGGUUGUCGUCAGCUCGUGUCGUGAGAUGUUGGGUUAAGUCCCGCAACGAGCGCAACCCUACGUUUAGUUGCUAACAGGUGAAGCUGAGCACUCUAGACGAACUGCCGUUGACAAAACGGAGGAAGGUGGGGAUGACGUCAAAUCAUCAUGCCCCUUAUGUUCUGGGCUACACACGUGCUACAAUGGCCGGUACAGACGGAGGCGAAGCCGCGAGGCGGAGCAAAUCCGAAAAAGCCGGUCUCAGUUCGGAUUGCAGGCUGCAAUUCGCCUGCAUGAAGUCGGAAUCGCUAGUAAUCGCAGGUCAGCAUACUGCGGUGAAUACGUUCCCGGGCCUU